rnacentral:rRNA from 1 species
ACGAACGCUGGCGGCAGGCCUAACACAUGCAAGUCGAACGCUCGUAGCAAUACGGGAGUGGCGCACGGGUGAGUAACACGUGGGAAUAUACCUUUCGCUGGGGGAUAACUUCGGGAAACUGAAGCUAAUACCGCAUACGCCCUUUGGGGGAAAGAUUUAUCGGCGAGAGAUUAGCCCGCGUCCAAUUAGCUAGUUGGUGAGGUAACGGCUCACCAAGGCGACGAUCGGUAGCUGGUCUGAGAGGAUGAUCAGCCACACUGGGACUGAGACACGGCCCAGACUCCUACGGGAGGCAGCAGUGGGGAAUAUCGAACAAUGGGCGCAAGCCUGAUCCAGCCAUGCCGCGUGAGUGAAGAAGGCCUUAGGGUUGUAAAGCUCUUUCGACGGGGACGAUGAUGACGGUACCCGUAGAAGAAGCCCCGGCUAACUUCGU